rnacentral:rRNA from 1 species
AGUGAACGCUGGCGGUAGGCCUAACACAUGCAAGUCGAACGGCAGCACAGUAAGAGCUUUCCUUUACGGGUGGCGAGUGGCGGACGGGUGAGGAAUCCAUCGGAAUCUACUUUUUCUUGGGGGAUAUCGUAGGGAAACAUACGCUACUACCGCAUACUACCUACGGUUGAAUGCAGAAGUUCUUGGCACCUUGCGCGACUGUAUGAGCUGAUGUCGGAUUAGCUAGUUGGCGGGGUAAAGGUCCACCAAGGCAACGAUGCAUAGCUGAUCUGAGAGGAUGAUCAGCCACACUGGAACUGAGACACGGUCCAGACUCCUACGGGAGGCAGCAGUUGGGAAUAUUCGACAAUGGGCGAAAGCCUGAUCGAGCCAUACCGCGUGAGUGAAGAAGGACUUCGGAUUGUAAAGCCCUGUUAUUGGGAAAGAAAAGCAGCAGGAGAAACACCCGCUGUUCUGACGGUACCCAAAGAAUAAGCACCGGCUAACUUCGUG